AAAAAAAAUAAAAUUUAAUAAUAAAAGUAGCUAAAAAAUCAAUUUCUAUAUUUUGAUCGGUGCAGAAGUGAAGAAUAACAAGCCAGAAGUAAGCAAAAAUGUGAAAUAAUAUGAUUACUGUGAAAAUAUGUUCGUUUGUUUUCAUUAUGUUGAAAAUAUUUAGUAAGUACAAUUGUAAAAUGAAUAUAAAUCAUUUAGCUUACAAAUCAUGAUGUCAUAAUAAAAUUUGAAACUUAAAGUUAUUUAACACUCCAGUGGUGAUUGUACAAAUAAUUUACAACUUUUUAAUUUUGUAACAGAUAACAUCAAAAAAGAUAAAGAUACACCAAGAAAAUUUAAAUGCUUUUUUUAAGUAAGUAUUACAAAUUGUAUUUACGAUUCCUUAAAAGUAUGUAACUAAUUUAAUUGCAUUACAGAACUGAAAUUUUAUAAUCUCGCAUAAUAAUUGAACUAUCGUUGAAAAAUGUCAACUGCCUGCAAUCACGAAAAUCAUUAUCUUCAAUAACAAGGAGACAAAGUUCCUAAUAUUUUUGAAAAUUAGUGUUAAUUAAGCUUCAAUCAAUAUCGUCUCAGCUAUGAAUUGAGAAAAUAAUGAAAUCACCAAGGCGUACAAAGUUAUAAACAUUAGAUAUAUUUACGCAAUGAAAAAUUUAUGCAGGAUGAUUUUAAACAAUGAAACUAUACAUAUGUACGAUACUGGUGAAUUAUCUUUGUAUAUAUAGAAGCUAAAAAAAUUAAAUUGUUUCCACUAUAUUAAAUUGGUACCCACAUAGAAUAAUUCAACUUAAAAUUAAUUAUUGUCGACAAUAAUAUUGUAUCAUAGAAUUUAGAAUAAUUUAUAUAUAUUGUCCAUCUCCGACAUAUAUAUAUAUAUGUAUAUAUAUAUAUAUAUACCCUGAUUAAGAGAAACGAUUCGAAACGAUUUGCAAUGUUAAAUACCUAUAAGAAAGACGAUUCAAAAAUAUUCAAAGUAUUUAAAAGCAUAAAAAAGUAUUUAAAAUUUUUUUUUCUAAUCGUUUUAAAUCAUUUCUCUUAAUAAGGGUAUAUGUGACAUUAAAAACAAGAAAUAAGGGGAAAGAACUAGAAAGUAUAAUACAUAAAAAAGCACAGAUCAAAGUUUAUGAAAGGUGAAAUGUGUGUUGUUGUAUAU